rnacentral:lncRNA from 1 species
GUAGCUAGCUACAAAUAACAGCAUAAAAAACCCUCCAUCUCUCUUUUUCUGAGCAUUAUUGGGUUGUCUUUACUUCCUCCAAAAACCAGGAAAGGAAAGAGACAAUGAGGUCUCUCUAUUCUCUUCUUUGGAGUUUGAAUGCCUUCUCCAUCUUCUUAUUCUUCUUUCUGCUCGUGUCUUACGACUCCAUGCAAGUUCAAGCUACGAGGCCUCUAAAAGAUGAGCAAACUCCUGCAUGGAUGAAGAUUUUCAGUAUAAGCCAAGCUUACUCUGGCCCUAGCCAUCGUGGACGUGGUCACUGAAUGAUCCAUGGAAGCCACUGUACAAUCGUUAAUCUGAUUUCUAAGUAAAAUCUACUGAUUAUGUUUUUCCUUUUUUUUUUUUUUUUUAAUUUGCCUUUCUGUUUGGAACAUAUAAGAGAAAAGAAAAUAUAUAAGUAUAGGAAAAAUAAAAGCAGUUUCUUAAAGUUUUCCAAGAAAAAAAGCACUAUGAUCUGUUCAUCCAG